rnacentral:rRNA from 1 species
UACAGAGGAUGCAAGCGUUAUCCGGAAUUAUUGGGCGUAAAGCGUCCGCAGGUGGCUGAACAAGUCAGUUGUUAAAGCGCAAGGCUCAACCUUGUAAAGGCAAUUGAAACUGUUCGGCUAGAGUGUGGUAGGGGUAGCGGGAAUUCCUAGUGUAGCGGUGAAAUGCGUAGAUAUUAGGAAGAACACCAGCGGCGAAAGCGCGCUACUGGGCCAUAACUGACACUGAAGGACGAAAGCUAGGGGAGCGAAAGGG